rnacentral:rRNA from 1 species
GACAGAGGUGCCGAGCGUUAGGCGGAAUCACUGGGCUUAAAGCGUGUGUAGGCGGACUUCUAAGUGCCUUGUGAAAUCCCACGGCUCACCCGUGGAACUGCUGGGCAUACUGGGAGUCUUGAGCCACUUAGGGGCAACUGGAACAAACGGUGGAGCGGUGAAAUGCGUAGAUAUCGUGGAGGAACACCGGUGGCGAAGGCGGCAUCCUGGACCGACAUUGACGCUGAGGAGCGAAAGCCAGGGAGCAAACGGG